rnacentral:rRNA from 1 species
GUACCUGCGGGUACCUGACCAGCGACGCCGCGUGAGCGAAGAAGGCCUUCGGAUUGUAAACCUCUUACCAUGGGACGAUAAUGACGGUACCAUACGAAAGCCCCUCCGGAUUACUUGCCACCAGCCGCGGUAAUACUUAGGGGGCGAGCGUUGUCCGGAAUUACUGGGCGUAAAGAGCACUGCGGCGGCUAUUUUACUCAUGUGGGAAAAACCUGGGCUUAUUAACUGGUAUGCUUCUGAAACUAUUGUGCUGGUUUCAUGGAGAGGAGACCGAAAUUCCUGGUGGAGCGGUGAAAUGCUGAGAAAUCAUGAAGAAUAACACUGGCGAAAACGGCUCUCUGGAGUUGUACUGACGAUGAUGAGGCAAAACAGGGGGAGCAAACAAGAUUAUAUACCCUGGUGGUCCACCCCGCCAACAAUGAAUACUACGUGUGGUGGAGGAAUCGACCCUCCCCGAGUUAAAGUAAAAACAAUCCCUCCUGGGGAGUACAACUACAAGGUUGAAACUCAAACGAAUUGACGGUGACGGA